rnacentral:rRNA from 1 species
UUUAAUUGAAGAGUUUGAUCAUGGCUCAGAUUGAACGCUGGCGGCAGGCUUAACACAUGCAAGUCGAGCGGUAGCACAAGA